rnacentral:tRNA from 1 species
GGGCGGUUAGCUCAGUUGGGAGAGCGCUGCGUUCGCAUCGCAGAGGCCGAGGGUUCGAAUCCCUUAUCGUCCACCA